rnacentral:rRNA from 1 species
AGAGUUUGAUCAUGGCUCAGGAUGAACGCUAGCGGCAGGCCUAAUACAUGCAAGUCGGACGGAGGCUUCGGCCUCAGUGGCGCACGGGUGCGUAACGCGUAUGCAACUUACCCUCUACUGGGGAAUAACCCGGGGAAACCCGGGCUAAUACCGCGUAAUAAAUUGAAUGGCAUCAUUUGAUUUUAAAAGCUUCGGUGGUAGAGGCUGGGCAUGCGCGCCAUUAGCUAGAUGGCGAGGUAAUGGCUCACCAUGGCGACGAUGGCUAGGGGUUCUGAGAGGAAGGUCCCCCACACUGGUACUGAGAUACGGACCAGACUCCUACGGGAGGCAGCAGUAAGGAAUAUUGGGCAAUGGACGAAAGUCUGACCCAGCCAUGCCGCGUGUCGGAAGAAUCCCCUCUGGGGUGUAAACGACUUUUAUCGGGGAAGAAAUGGCUCUUGCGAGAGCAGUUGACGGUACCCGAGGAAUAAGCACCGGCUAACUACGUGCCAGCCGCCGCGGUAAUUC